AUAGGUGUGGAUUCCUGGAAUGGUACCACGCCCAAAUGUAACGCGUCCAUGUAUGCGUGAACGCCCAAGGAUGGGGCUGCGGCCGAUCAGGCAGUUGGUGAGGUAACGGCUCACCAAACCUUUGACCGGUACGGGCCAUGAGAGUGGUAGCCCGGAGAUGGGCACUGAGACAAGGGCCCAGGCCCUACGGGGCGCAGCAGGCGCGAAACCUCCACAAUUCACGAAAGUGAGAUGGGGUUACCUCGAGUGCCGCCUGAUGAAGGCGGCUUUUCCAUUGUGUAAUGAGCCGUGGGAAUAAGAGGGGGGCAAGACUGGUGUCAGCCGCCGCGGUAACACCAGCCCCUCGAGUGGUGGGGAUGAUUAUUUGGCCUAAAGCGUCCGUAGCCGGCCCUGUAAAUCUUUCGUUAAAUCCAGCGUCCUAAGCGUUGGGCUGCGAGAGAAACUGCAGAGCUAGAGGGUGGGAGAGGUCAGCGGUAUUCCUGGGGUAGGGGCGAAAUCCAUUGAUCCCAGGAGGACCACCAGUGGCGAAGGCUGCUGACUUGAACACGCCUGACGGUGAGGGACGAAAGCUGGGGUAGCGAAUCGGAUUAGAUACCCGAGUAGUCCCAGCCGUAAACGAUGCAGGCUAGGUGUUGGGUCGGCCACGUGCUGGCUCAGUGCCACAGGGAAGCCAUUAAGCCUGCCGCCUGGGGAGUACGGCCGCAAGGCUGAAAC
rnacentral:rRNA from 1 species